UAGGGAAUCUUGGACAAUGGGCGAAAGCCUGAUCCAGCGACGCCGCGUGAGGGAUGAAGGCCUUCGGGUUGUAAACCUCUGUUGACGGGAAAGAAGCCGCGGGCAACCGCGGUGACGGUACCCGUCGAGGAAGCCCCGGCUAACUACGUGCCAGCAGCCGCGGUAAGACGUAGGGGGCGAGCGUUACCCGGAUUCACUGGGCGUAAAGGGCGCGUAGGCGGCUGCGCAAGUCCGGCGUGAAAUGCCACGGCUCAACUGUGGACUGCCGUCGGAAACUGCGCUGGCUUGAGGGCGGUAGAGGUCAGCGGAACUAGCGGUGUAGCGGUGAAAUGCGCAGAUAUCGCUAGGAACGCCGGUGGCGAAGGCGGCUGACUGGGCCGUCCCUGACGCUGAGGCGCGAAAGCUAGGGGAGCGAACCGG
rnacentral:rRNA from 1 species